CUUUUUCUCUCUCCUACGCCACUCUCUAGUCUCUUCCCCCUUUGAACCCUAACCCUAGCCGCCGUCGCCCUUUUCUCUCCUCGGAUCUGUUCUCUAAUGGACAAAUCCGAGGAGAGGUGUUUAGUUUAGUCUAGAUUUAAGUUUUAUUUCUUCGAUUUCUGUAGUUUUUGGGUGUUUCCCUCACAGUGAUUUGGGGAUUCCCCUCUCUUCCUGUGGUUAGUGGAGGCUAACGUGGAUCUGUACUUCAAUAGUGAGAUGUGCGGAGGAGUGGUGCUAUGUUCUAUCUUCAUUCAAGGAUUGGGAAGAGAUGACCUGUUGGGGAGCCAUAUUUGAUUUCAGAAUCCAUCUCAAUAUGGUGUAUUAAGGUUUCAUCUCUGUUGGGUAUUUCGAAGCUUGAAUAUGGUGGAAGCGGUGCUAAUAUCUGGCUUGGCCCGUCUCUGGUUAGUGGAGGCUAAUGGUGGAGCUGUACUCUAUUGGUGAACUGUGCUUUGUGGUAAUGCUAUUUUCUACCUUAGAGAUGUCCUGUUGGGGAAUCAUGUUUAUUUGAUGUCGGAGUCCAUCACAACAUGGUGUAUUAAGGGACAUCUCUGUUUGGGUUUUGGAAGCCUCAAUAAAGUGGAGGCGGUGCUAUUUUAAGGCUAGUUCAUCGCUGGUGGUUGCAGUGGCUAGUUGAAGAAGGUCAUGCUGAACCAAAGAAGAUUCUGUGUUCGGGCAUAGGAGGUGGUGGGGAGUGACUUCAAUCUUCUAUCUGGGGUUUUGCCAGAAACGCUUCUUAGUGUUUCUAUGGCUGUUUAGUGGUGUUGAAGUUCAGGAGGAAGUGGAGCCGCCGUCAAUAGAAGUUUUUCAUUGAUGAGGGUAAAAUUGAUUUCUCUUUGAGAUUAGGGUUUUAUGGGCUUUUUCUAAGACUCUCCGCUGUCGGUGUAAGGCUUGGGUUUGUUAUAAGUCUUGGCAUCGGGUUCGUGAGAUUUUCCUUACAAGUUUAUCUCACCUGUAAAAUCGAGUUUUUCCUUGCAAGUUAAUCUGAUAAUUUAUCUAUCCUUUGGGUUGCAUUUAAAAUUUUUUUAUCUUUGCAGAGGAAAAAAGAAAAGAGAGCCUUAUUAAAAAAUCUAUGGAGUUGAUGUUAAUUUAUGAUAUUACGAGGGCAAUUUUAGUAACUUCACUGAUGAGAACUAAAGCAUUCUUCUUAUCUACACCUUAAAAUCUGAAAUCCAGCAGGGAGACAAAAACAAGAUCCGGAAGAGACUAGAAACUAGUAGAAAGUGAAGUCUUCGAUAUCAGAUUGCAUGAAAUCUCCCAUUCUUUCGUGUUUCAAAUGUCGCAACUCGAUCCAUGUUCAAUUUUCCCCUAAGAUAAAGAUUCAAUUGUUAUUUUCAUUCUUUUUUUUCUUCCCCCAAAUCAAAUCAAAACCCUGAGUCUCAGUUUUAAUUUUCCCUUAAAUAUCAAAACCCUAAGUAACCAGUAAGAAGGUAGUGAUGGGUUCUUCAAGAUGGAGUAUUAAUGGUUUUGUAAUCCUAUGAGAUUCUGGUGGAAUGAAGAAUAACACUGAGACAUAACAUUAUGAUAUUUCCUCUCAAAACCAAGUAAUAGCAUGAAAAUCUGAGAAUGAUGGUGGAUUACUGCUACCAAUAAUAAGUUAGAUAUCAGUAAUCUUAUAAAUCUCCAGUUGUUAAUCGUCCAGGCUAUCGUUUACCGGUUUUGGAAGUAAUUUGACAAAAUGAAAUUAUGGACCGAAAAGGAUAAGAUACACCAAAAAAGAAGUUUAGGGCUGAGGAAAAGAAGAGAAGAAAAAUGAGGAUGAUAAGGAUGCUUAGGUUUGGGAUUUGUUCGCACUAGAUGAACGUUAUAAAAGACCUACCUUGUCUAAUGCCUGUGGAAUAUCUAGAAACUGGAAUGCUAAAUGGAAAAGACGUCACUAUCCAACACCCCACAAUACAAAUUAAAAACGUCUUGCAGAUAAACCCGGAACACAUUAACCGACAGGGAGGGGAAGGAUCUUCUGAAAUUUUAUCUACUCAAGAGCAUCAGAUGGAAACUGAUCGGUUAGCUUUACUUGAGUUCAAAAGUAAGUUACAAUAUGACACAGCCGGAGCACCAGGAUCUAGUUGGAUAUAAAAUUUAUGUUUUCGUGAGCAUCCAAGAAUGGUUACUAUUUUGGAUCCAAGUUAUCUGGAAUUGGGUUCCUGGCUAUGGCAUCAAUUUCUAUAUUUGUCAUACCAUUGGUUUUGUUGUGGAAUUCGAAGCUCUUUGAGGAACAAUCUUGAUGGGAUAAUUCCUCCGUCCUUACAGAGUUUGAAGGCAAUUGAAGUGUUAAACCUUUCACGCAAUUACUUGUCUGGUACACUUCCACGGUGUCUCGAAUCAUUUCAUUUUGUAAAUAAACUGGAAAUUUCUUGGAAUAACUUUGACAAUAAAGUACUAAAAGAAGGUAUUUUCAACGACACGAGUACUAGAUCUUCAGAGACGAGGAGCUUUAAAAGGUCUCAAGGUGCACGUUGAGAUUAGUGUCGAAUGUGAAGCGUGGAUAUGCAUUCGACAUCACAAUGUAACGAAGAUAUUAACUUCUUGCUUUAGUGUCGAAUUUGAAGGAAAUUAAUUUCAAAGCUCUGGUUUAUGAAUCCACGCGGAAGUGUUGAGAACUGGUUGCACUCGACAGCAAAACGUAGACAGCAUCAUAGGUCAAUAAACAGGCCAUUGAAAUUUAUUGAGAAACUAUGUGUAUCCAUGGAUGAUGCUUGUGCAUUAGAUUAUGUUAAUCACCAGUGCCAGACACCAGUAGGGCAUGGAUGGUCGUCUUGGAGAUGUCAGAUCAUUUAAGUUUCUCCGUGAGUUGCUGCGGUUGUUGAAUCUAGAAAUAUUUGCGGUA